ensembl:lncRNA
GAUUUCUUCACCCCAUUGAGUAAGAUGCAGCCAUUGGGUGUCAGUAGAGAGAUCCCCUUCACCAGUACAUCCAAGGCUGAGUCUACAAUACAGCAAGGAUCUCCUCAGGUGUGAGCGACCUCGUCAACCUUGGAUUGCUGUCUCCACUAUCAGUGGCCGAAUCAAGAUGGUCUGAAGAUGACAUUCUCUCCUCAGCAAAUGAGGACGGCGUAAUGUGUCACACCAGCCAUCCAAUAUCGCAGGUCCUUGACCCUUGACUGCGGAGCUAAACCAAAACGAUUUGUUGGAACACUUGAAAGAAAACAUCAAUGAUGAGGAUGAAGAAACAUCCAUAACAGCAUUUAACGAUGAAGAAUAAACAACAGAAAAAAAGGAGGGAUCGGGUCAAACGUGUUAUUAGUGCAAUUAGUUAUGUUUCAUCACGCAUCAAUCGUAAACCAAGAGGAACAGGCUUCAAUUAAAAUGUGCCGACAAUGCUUUGGUGUGAAGGAGGCAAUUCGUAGUUUUUCAAAAUGCAAAUACGAUUGUACUGAAACACAAUCCUUACAAUAUCAAUCAUGGAAUCCAACAUUGAACUAAGUGUAUUUCCCGGUGAAGAAUGAACUUCCUUACCUUUUUUGAAAACCAAAAUAAAU